AUCCAGAGAAUUUAGCAGAGAUGCUUUAGUGCCUUCGGGAACUCUGAGACAGGUGCUGCAUGGCUGUCGUCAGCUCGUGUUGUGAAAUGUUGGGUUAAGUCCCGNAACGAGCGCAACCCUUAUCCUUUGUUGCCAGCACGUAAUGGUGGGAACUCAAAGGAGACUGCCGGUGAUAAACCGGAGGAAAGUGGGGAUGACGUCAAGUCAUCAUGGCCCUUACGAGUAGGGCUACACACGUGCUACAAUGGCGCAUACAAAGAGAAGCGACCUCGCGAGAGCAAGCGGACCUCAUAAAGUGCGUCGUAGUCCGGAUUGGAGUCUGCAACUCGACUCCAUGAAGUCGGAAUCGCUAGUAAUCGUAAAUCAGAAUGUUACGGUGAAUACGUUCCCGGGCCUUGUACACACCGCCCGUCACACCAUGGGAGUGGGUUGCAAAAGAAGUAGAUAGCUUAACCUUCGGGAGGGCGUUUACCACUUUGUGAUUCAUGACUGGGGUGAAGUCGUAACAAGGUAAGCGUAGUGCU
rnacentral:rRNA from 1 species